rnacentral:rRNA from 1 species
CCUACGGGAGGCAGCAGUGGGGAAUAUUGCGCAAUGGGCGAAAGCCUGACGCAGCGACGCCGCGUGAGGGAUGAAGGUCUUCGGGUCGUACACCUCUGUCAGCAGGGAAGAACGGUCACUGUGCUAAUCAGCCGUGAAUUGACGGUACCUGCAAAGGAAGCACCGGCUAACUCCGUGCCAGCAGCCGCGGUAAUACGGAGGGUGCGAGCGUUAAUCGGAAUUACUGGGCGUAAAGCGCUCGUAGGCGGUAUGUUAAGUCAAGUGUGAAAUCCCCGGGCUCAACGUGGGAACUGCCUUUGAAACUGGCAAACUGGAGUGUGUGAGAGGAUAGUGGAAUUCCAGGUGUAGGAGUGAAAUGCGUAGAUGUCUGGAGGAACACCAGUGGCGAAGGCGACUAUCUGGCACAUAACUGACGCUGAGGAGCGAAAGCGUGGGUAGCAAACAGGAUUAGAUACCCUAGUAGUC